rnacentral:rRNA from 1 species
UACGGAGGGAGCUAGCGUUGUUCGGAAUUACUGGGCGUAAAGCGCACGUAGGCGGAUUUGUAAGUCAGGGGUGAAAUCCCGGGGCUCAACCUGGGAACUGCCUUUGAUACAGCACGUCUUGAGUCCGAUAGAGGUGGGUGGAAUUCCUAGUGCAGAGGUGAAAUUCGUAGAUAUUAGGAAGAACACCGGUGGCGAAGGCGGCCCACUGGAUCGGUACUGACGCUGAGGUGCGAAAGCGUGGGGAGCAAACAGG